rnacentral:rRNA from 1 species
CGCGUGAGGAACCUGCCUCAAAGAGGGGGACAACAGUUGGAAACGACUGCUAAUACCGCAUAAGCCCACGGGUCGGCAUCGACCAGAGGGAAAAGGAGUGAUCCGCUUUGAGAUGGCCUCGCGUCCGAUUAGCUAGUUGGUGAGGUAACGGCCCACCAAGGCGACGAUCGGUAGCCGGACUGAGAGGUUGAACGGCCACAUUGGGACUGAGACACGGCCCAGACUCCUACGGGAGGCAGCAGUGGGGAAUAUUGCACAAUGGGGGAAACCCUGAUGCAGCGACGCCGCGUGGAGGAAGAAGGUCUUCGGAUUGUAAACUCCUGUUGUUGGGGAAGAUAAUGACGGUACCCAACAAGGAAGUGACGGCUAACUACGUGCCAGCAGCCGCGGUAAAACGUA